rnacentral:rRNA from 1 species
AUUGAACGCUGGCGGCAGGCCUAACACAUGCGAGUCGAGCGGAUGAAGGGAGCUUGCUCCUGGAUUCAGCGGCGGACGGGUGAGUAAUGCCUAGGAAUCUGCCUGGUAGUGGGGGAUAACGUCCGGAAACGGGCGCUAAUACCGCAUACGUCCUGAGGGAGAAAGUGGGGGAUCUUCGGACCUCACGCUAUCAGAUGAGCCUAGGUCGGAUUAGCUAGUUGGUGGGGUAAAGGCCUACCAAGGCGACGAUCCGUAACUGGUCUGAGAGGGUGAUCAGUCACACUGGAACUGAGACACGGUCCAGACUCCUACGGGAGGCAGCAGUGGGGAAUAUUGGACAAUGGGCGAAAGCCUGAUCCAGCCAUGCCGCGUGUGUGAAGAAGGUCUUCGGAUUGUAAAGCACUUUAAGUUGGGAGGAAGGGCAGUAAGUUAAUACCUUGCUGUUUGGACGUUACCAACAGAAUAAGCACCGGCUAACUUCGU